AUGGUGCAUCCGUACGCGGUCGAUCCCCUCGACCUGUGCCCAGGCAGCCGAUGGUCUUCAAGGCUGCGCUGCGUGUCAUCGCAGUGACUGCGCCAGUCCGCUUCGCAUCGCUCGCCGCGGACGCUCAUCCCCACCGGAUGACGAUGC
rnacentral:ncRNA from 1 species